rnacentral:misc_RNA from 1 species
GAAAUGCGAUAAGUAGUGUGAAUUGCAGAAUUCAGUGAAUCAUCGAAUCGUUGAACGCACAUUGCGCCCUUUGGUAUUCCAAAGGGCAUGCCUGUUCGAGCGUCAUUUGUACCCUCAAGCUUUGCUUGGUGUUGGGCGUCUUGUCUCUAGCUUUGCUGGAGACUCGCCUUAAAGUAAUUGGCAGCCGGCCUACUGGUUUCGGAGCGCAGCACAAGUCGCACUCUCUAUCAGCAAAGGUCUAGCAUCCAUUAAGCCUUUUUUCAACUUUUGACCUCGGAUCAGGUAGGGAUACCCGCUGAACUUAAGC